UACAGAGGUCUCAAGCGUUGUUCGGAUUCAUUGGGCGUAAAGGGUGCGUAGGCGGCGCGGUAAGUCGGGUGUGAAAUCUCGGGGCUUAACUCCGAAACUGCAUUCGAUACUGCCGUGCUUGAGGACUGGAGAGGAGACUGGAAUUUACGGUGUAGCGGUGAAAUGCGUAGAUAUCAAGAGGAACACCUGCGGCGAAGGCGGGUUGCUGGGCUGACACUGACGCUGAAGCGCGAAAGCCAGGGGAGCGAACGGG
rnacentral:rRNA from 1 species